GACGAACGCUGGCGGCGUGCUUAACACAUGCAAGUCGAGCGGAGCGGCGAACGGGUGAGUAACGCGUGAGUAACUGCCCCGCUCUCUGGGAGAACAGUUGGAAACGGCUGCUAAUACCGGAUAGUGGGGGAUGACUCGCGUUCUAUCAGCUGGUUGGUGGGGUAGUGGCUUACCAAGGCGACGACGGGUAGCCGGCCUGAGAGGGCGACCGGCCACCGUGGGCUGCGAUACGGCCCAAACUAGUACGGGAGGCAGCUGUGGGAAAUAUUACAGAAAGCGGCAAGCUCUAAGCCCGGAACGUCGGGGGCGGCGUGAGAUCUGUCUAGGUGUCAACGGGUUUAAGCAAUGCUCCGGUAGUGGGAGAAGAAGCCCCGGCUAACUCCGGGCCAGCAGCCGCGGUAAUUC
rnacentral:rRNA from 1 species